GGCAAGCGGCAGCUAUACAUGCAGUCGACGAGAUUGAAGAGCUUGCUUUUCAUGAAAGUGGCGCACGGGUGCGUAACGCGUAUGCAACCUACCUUAAUCAGGGGGAUAGCCUCUCGAAAGAGAGAUUAACACCGCAUAAAAUCACAGGCUGGCAUCAGCAAAUGAUCAAAUAUUUAUAGGAUUAAGAUGGGCAUGCGUGACAUUAGCUAGUUGGUAAGGUAACGGCUUACCAAGGCUACGAUGUCUAGGGGAUCUGAGAGGAUGACCCCCCACACUGGUACUGAGACACGGACCAGACUCCUACGGGAGGCAGCAGUAAGGAAUAUUGGUCAAUGGGGGCAACCCUGAACCAGCCAUGCCGCGUGCAGGAAGACGGCCCUACGGGUUGUAAACUGCUUUUAUACGGGAAUAAACCCCCCAACGUGUUGGGGGUUGAAUGUACUGUAAGAAUAAGGAUCGGCUAACUCCGUGCCAGCAGCCGCGGUAAUACGGAGGAUCCAAGCGUUAUCCGGAUUUAUUGGGUUUAAAGGGUGCGUAGGCGGCCUAUUAAGUCAGGGGUGAAAGACGGUGGCUCAACCAUCGCAGUGCCUUUGAUACUGAUAGGCUUGAUUACACUUGAGGUAGGCGGAAUGUGACAAGUAGCGGUGAAAUGCAUAGAUAUGUCACAGAACACCAAUUGCGAAGGCAGCUUACUAAGGUGUUAAUGACGCUGAGGCACGAAAGCGUGGGGAUCAAACAGGAUUAGAUACCCUGGUAGUCCACGCCCUAAACGAUGAAUACUCGAUGUUAGCGAUAUACAGUUAGCGUCAAAGCGAAAGCGUUAAGUAUUCCACCUGGGGAGUACGCCCGCAAGGUGAAACUCAAAGGAAUUGACGG
rnacentral:rRNA from 1 species